rnacentral:lncRNA from 1 species
GCCACAUUCCAGUUUUCACGGAGGACAAGACGGUCACUGGAGCGCGAGGCUUGCGCGGCUGUGCAACCGCUCUACCCACACAGGGCUGGGGCCCGACACUGGCUUCCCGCCCCUGCCUCUUUCUCGCCCCGCACACUUUCUUCUCUCCAGUUUUGCGUGCUUUUUAUUUCGAACUGGGCUGCAGACUCCUCCCUUGUCAGUGCUUUUCCCGACUCCCAUUCACACCCCCCAACAGGGUAAAGGGCAUAUCUGCAUUCGCACCAAACCAAGAGGGUGGACCCCAGGGACUUGGUGCCAAUACCAGAGGCUGGGUGACUCCUGGACCGACGCUGCGUGUCGCGUGUAAAGGGGCGCCAGUCCGGACGCUCAGGUCGAAACUCCUAAAUUUGCGAACCAAGAAAAUGAUUCUGGCAACUCUUACCUUAGGGACUGGGGGUGUGUUGCUUUUGCUUUUGUUUGUUUCUUUGUUUUUCCCACCAAUAUAAAAACUAGAUAAGUUGGAGCAAUGCCACCUGAUCUCCGCGCAGCCUCCCGGCUCGCAGCUUCUCCCAUCGCUCAGACCCGACACUUGUUACUUCGCUUCAAACCGCAGUUGGAGCAGGUUGGGGACUGGACUCUCGCGCAGGAAAGGGCUUCCACAUAUUUAGGGAAGAUGAGUUUCUCUUCGUAGUGUUUAUUGUUCGUUCCUUUACAGGCAUAACAUUUCUCCUUGCCUUUUAAGGUUUACCAGUUGCAAUUUUUUGGAGUUAUUGAAGCGAUUUCCAGUUACAAAAAAAAAAAAAUUACAUUUAACUUGAAUGCAAGCCACUUUGCCGGUUUAGGGGGAGGGGUGGAAAAUACCAAGUAUUUGUUCUGUGAGUCUUUGUUAAAUCAGGACGCAAACUCCCGAGAGUGCUCUUUAACCCUUUUCCAGAAGCAACCUUCUUUCCACGUUUUAUCCUUCUUUUCUCCAGUUGGCUUGCUGGAAGAGAAACAUUUCCUGGACAGAGUAAAAAAUCACAAACCAUGACAACGGAAAAGGAACAAAUUAA